rnacentral:rRNA from 1 species
CCUACGGGGGGCAGCAGUGAGGAAUAUUGGUCAAUGGGCGGAAGCCUGAACCAGCCAAGUAGCGUGCAGGAUGACGGCCCUACGGGUUGUAAACUGCUUUUAUACGGGAAUAACGCGCCUUACGUGUAGGGCUUUGCAUGUACCGUAUGAAUAAGGACCGGCUAAUUCCGUGCCAGCAGCCGCGGUAAUACGGAAGGUCCGGGCGUUAUCCGGGUUUAUUGGGUUUCAGGGGAGGGUAGGCGGCAUGUCAAGCGUGCUGUGAAAUGUCCGGGCUCAACCCGGGCCUUGCAGCGCGAACUGGCGAGCUUGAGUCCGCGGAAGGCGGGCGGAAUUCGUCGUGUAGCGGUGAAAUGCGUAGAUAUGACGAAGAACCCCGGUUGCGAAGGCAGCUGGCUGCAGCGGAACUGACGCUGAUGCUCGAAAGCGCGGGUAUCGAACAGGAUUAGAUACCCGGGUAGUC